UUCAGGUUGAUCUGCUCAGAGGUCAGAAAUCAAAUAAAGUUGAUGUCACAUUACAACCAGAAGAGUUGGAAGUAAUGAACAAUGUCUUGCAUGCAAAGUAUGAGGAAGCAAGGAGGAGGAGAAGCUGCGUAGUCAGCAGGAGGAUUUCAGUGACAUGGUUGUCGAGGUGUGCAUCUCUCACAAUCUUUCUGAUUUUGUACUUGUUUUAAUUAGUAUUUAUGGACACUUUUGUUCUGAUGAGGUGGAAUUUUUUAGAAUGAGAAGAAGAGGGAACAGAAAAUGCAGGAAAAGGAUGGAAAAUCGAAGAAAAAGGAUUUCAAGUUCUAGGACGUGCUGCUAGUUUUGUGAUCGGAAUGUUAGAAUGCCAGAUCCAUUAUGCUUUUCUUAGGCACCUCUAAAUUUUUAUCAUUCGGAAUCAUAAUUGUUGUGUGUCCAUUGCCAAAAAUGUAGUCCCAUUCCAUGGCACCAAACACAGCCUUGGUGUUAUGGGUUUGGUUAAUGAGAAAUUUGUUGGUGAUUUUAUAUGCUGCUACUUUCUAUUUCUCCAUUGCUUAGGAUGGAAAAUAUGUUAUAUAUCAAAGUUGCUUGA